AUAUUUCGGAACUGAGUCUAGUUCCUUCGAUAUCAGUGUAAUCCAAUAAUCAUGAAAUUUCAUGACUAUUAGAUUACACUGAUAUCGAAGGAACGAGACUCAGUUCCGAAAUAU
rnacentral:miRNA from 1 species